CGGUAACAGGGGAGCUUGCUCCCGCUGACGAGUGGCGAACGGGUGAGUAAUGCAUCGGAACGUGCCGAAUAGUGGGGGAUAACGCACCGAAAGGUGUGCUAAUACCGCAUACGCCCUGAGGGGGAAAGUGGGGGACCGCAAGGCCUCACGCUAAUCGAGCGGCCGAUGUCGGAUUAGCUAGUUGGUGGGGUAAAGGCUCACCAAGGCGACGAUCCGUAGCGGGUCUGAGAGGAUGAUCCGCCACACUGGGACUGAGACACGGCCCAGACUCCUACGGGAGGCAGCAGUGGGGAAUAUUCCGCAAUGGACGAAAGUCUGACGGAGCAACGCCGCGUGAGUGAAGAAGGUUUUCGGAUCGUAAAGCUCUUUCGUUAGGGACGAACGUGCUCUUUGUGAAUAAUGAGGAGUAAUGACGGUACCUAAAUAAGAAGCCACGGCUAACUACGUGCCAGCAGCCGCGGUAAUACGUAGGUGGCAAGCGUUGUCCGGAAUUAUUGGGCGUAAAGCGCGCGCAGGCGGGAUAUCAAGUCUGUCUUAAAAGUGCGAGGCUCAACCUCGUGAGGGGACGGAAACUGGUAUUCUUGAGUGUCGGAGAGGAAAGUGGAAUUCC
rnacentral:rRNA from 1 species